rnacentral:rRNA from 1 species
GCCUACUGGGGGCAGCAGUGAGGAAUAUUGGUCAAUGGGCGCGAGCCUGAACCAGCCAAGUCGCGUGAGGGAGGACGGCCCUACGGGUUGUAAACCUCUUUUGCCGGGGAGCAACGGGCGUCACGUGUGGCGCCACUGAGAGUACCCGGAGAAAAAGCAUCGGCUAACUCCGUGCCAGCAGCCGCGGUAAUACGGAGGAUGCGAGCGUUAUCCGGAUUUACUGGGUGUAAAGGGCGUGUAGGCGGGCCUGCAAGUCAGAAGUGAAAUCUGGGGGCUUAACCCCCAAACUGCUUUUGAAACUGUGG